AAGUCGUAACAAGGUUUCCGUAGGUGAACCUGCGGAAGGAUCAUUAACGAGUUAGGGUCUUCUAGGCCCGACCUCCCAACCCUAUGUUUAUCGAACCUCUGUUGCUUCGGCGGACCCGCCUCACGGCCGCCGGAGGACCGCUGCAAGGCGUCCUCUGGCCAGCGCCCGCCGAUGGCCAACCACUUAAAACUCUGAAUGAAUCGUGUCAUAUGUCUAAGUCUAUGAUUAAAUUAAAGCAAAACUUUCAACAACGGAUCUCUUGGUUCUG
rnacentral:misc_RNA from 1 species